AGAGUUUGAUCCUGGCUCAGAUUGAACGCUGGCGGCAUGCCUUACACAUGCAAGUCGAACGGCAGCACGGACUUCGGUCUGGUGGCGAGUGGCGAACGGGUGAGUAACAUAUCGGAACAUACCCUAGAGUGGGGGAUAACGUAGCGAAAGUUACGCUAAUACCGCAUACGAUCUAAGGAUGAAAGUGGGGGAUCUUCGGACCUCAUGCUCAUGGAGUGGCCGAUAUCUGAUUAGCUAGUUGGUGAGGUAAAGGCUCACCAAGGCGACGAUCAGUAGCUGGUUUGAGAGAACGACCAGCCACACUGGAACUGAGACACGGCCCAGACUCCUACGGGAGGCAGCAGUGGGGAAUCUUGGACAAUGGGCGCAAGCCUGAUCCAGCCAUGCCGCGUGAGUGAUGAAGGCCCUAGGGUUGUAAAACUCUUUCGUGGGGGACGAUAAUGACGGUACCCCAAGAAGAAGCUCCGGCUAACUUCGUGCCAGCAGCCGCGGUAAU
rnacentral:rRNA from 1 species